AUGCAAGUCACACCCCCAAUACACAGCAAAACUCAAUGCCAGGUAUCACCUGGAACUCAUGUUGCAGGCCUUGCCCCCCAUGGGGUUAGAAGAGCCACCCACCACAUGUGCAGGAGUGCCUUGAUCAUCCGGGGCCAAGUCCAGCCCACCGUCUGUGCUUGUGAAAUUGCAGGAGAGCCUACACCGGGCAACUCCACCCCGCGGGGAUUUUUAUUAAGGACCGUAAUCACCAAAUCAUCCGCUGCCCCACCAGCCACAGGCUCCGGGCCCACCCCUUCAAAGGGGAUUUUUGCCAUGUUCACAGCCCACACACAUGAUCCCAAAUACUUUAUAAGCUCUGGUGAACGCUGUGGUAAAUCUGCAGGAGAAUCAGCGGUUAGCAGCACAUCAGAGGACACAGACUUUACAGUACACUUCCACAAAAGAAUGUGUGGUUCGAGCAAGAGGACACGGGGCGAGAGAGCCUGACCACCACCAUCUUGGCCAAUCAAUCUUUCCCUGCAACUACCUAGAAAUGAACUUAACGUGCAAACCCUUUUGAAGAAAAUGUUGCUAUGUUACUGGAAAGUAUAAAAAAUUAGAAAAAUUAUACCAUGUACCUGGUAAUAUGUCCAUUAUCCCCCUGAUUGAUUCCUAAAUAUAAUGCAAGUUCAAUUUGAAAAUCUGUAUUGUUUUGGAACUCUAUAAAAUGAUAUGAAAUUCAUCAUAUUUGAGCAAAUACUCCGGGGGGGGGGAACCCUGUAAGAGUGAUGAAGAAAUACAUAAUCUUUAGAUAUUAUAAUGAAGUGCAAUGUAAAUCUACAGUAACUAAAACAGCAUUAAAACAAACAAAUUAAUGGAACAAAAUAUAAUGUCCAGGAAGAACUGCAAAUGAAUUUGAAACUUUCUUUCAAUUAAAUAAGAAAGAAUGGGUGUUUCAAUCACUGAGUGUUGAGCCUUGUUUUAGAUUUGGAGACAUCUUUAUAUCAAAUCUUUACCUCACGCCUUUUAUCAAAAUACAUUUGGAUUGUUAAAAGAUUUAAACAUAAAAAUAAGACCACCAGCAGAGAAGAACAGUUCUCUAAAAUAUUCAUUCAAAGGAAAGCAAAGGCUGGUGAAUACUUUUUAUAAACUUUUCAAGAAGCAGUUUUCUUAGUAUGACAUCAAAGCCAAG
rnacentral:lncRNA from 1 species